rnacentral:rRNA from 1 species
UACGGAGGAUGCGAGCGUUAUCCGGAUUUAUUGGGUUUAAAGGGUGCGUAGGCGGGCUUUUAAGUCAGCGGUAAAAAUUCGGGGCUCAACCCCGUCCGGCCGUUGAAACUGGGGGCCUUGAGUGGGCGAGAAGAAGGCGGAAUGCGUGGUGUAGCGGUGAAAUGCAUAGAUAUCACGCAGAACCCCGAUUGCGAAGGCAGCCUUCCGGCGCCCUACUGACGCUGAGGCACGAAAGUGCGGGGAUCGUACAGG